CACUCCUACGGGAGGCAGCAGUGGGGAAUAUUGGACAAUGGGCGCAAGCCUGAUCCAGCCAUACCGCGUGGGUGAAGAAGGCCUUCGGGUUGUAAAGCCCUUUUGUUGGGAAAGAAAUCCAGCUGGCUAAUACCCGGUUGGGAUGACGGUACCCAAAGAAUAAGCACCGGCUAACUUCGUGCCAGCAGCCGCGGUAAUACGAAGGGUGCAAGCGUUACUCGGAAUUACUGGGCGUAAAGCGUGCGUAGGUGGUCAUUUAAGUCCGUUGUGAAAGCCCUGGGCUCAACCUGGGAACUGCAGUGGAUACUGGAUGACUAGAAUGUGGUAGAGGGUAGCGGAAUUCCUGGUGUAGCAGUGAAAUGCGUAGAGAUCAGGAGGAACAUCCAUGGCGAAGGCAGCUACCUGGACCAACAUUGACACUGAGGCACGAAAGCGUGGGGAGCAAACAGGAUUAGAUACCCUGGUAGUCCACGCCCUAAACGAUGCGAACUGGAUGUUGGGUGCAAUUUGGCACGCAGUAUCGAAGCUAACGCGUUAAGUUCGCCGCCUGGGGAGUACGGUCGCAAGACUGAACUCAAAGGAAUUGACGGGGCCCGCACAGCGGUGGAGUAUGUGGUUUAAUUCGAUGCACGCGAAAACCUUACCUGGCCUUGACAUGUCGAGACUUUCAGAGAUGGAUUGGUGCCUUCGGGAACUCAAACCCGGUGCUGCAUGGCUGUCUUCGCCCCUGUCCUGAGAUGUGGGUUAGUCCCCCACGACGCAACCUGGUCUUAGUGCCAGACUAUGGUGGGACUCUAGGAAACGCGGUGACAACCGGAGGAGGUGGGAUGACGUCAGUCUCCAGGGCCUUACGGCAGGGUUACACCUUAUUCAAUGUUAGGACAAAGGCUGCAACCGGCACGGUACCCAUCCCGAAACCUUCCCAUCCGGAUGGAAUCGCACCCCACCCGGAAGCGGAA
rnacentral:rRNA from 1 species